GGACUUGGCUCGCCUUAAAUACUGCUAUCUGACAGAAGGAAAUUAACGUGUGCCGCAGCAUCCACCCCCAAGGCUGGCCAGAGUGACAAGCUCUUUCCUUCUGUAAUUACUGCGAGAAGCUCAAAUGGGGUUUCACCAAAUCCAGGGAAGUCUCACAAGGAGAAAAGAAAACACCUCCCACCAGACACGGAGCUGAUCUGUAAGCAACUCCAACAAGGGAAAUGGCCUGCCUUCCUCCCACUCCCCCCAGAGCCCAGAUGUGCAGCCUCGAGGGUCAGACAGGGCCGCCUCUGGGACCCGUGGAGAAACCGCAGCCUUCUCCGAAACUAAGGUGAGGUACUAUGGAAAUGUCUGGAAGACUGAAAGUCCCUGGACCCUGGUGAAGACAAGGAUCCAAGCUGUUGCCAAGCUGGCUCCGGACCCUCCUAGAACAUCACCCCUGUGUGUCUGCACAGAAAACAGGAGGCCACACAAAAGUAAGCACGCAGUCUGCAGGAUGCCCCAGGGCCAUACGAGACCUCAGCCUCUGAAUGGUUUUCACCUGGCACUCCCAUCUCCAGAGCAGUUAUCAUCUGACCCAAAUAAGAAACAGGAAGAGAGCAAAACAUCUUUGAGAACACAUGAGAGAUCAAAUAGGGGAUCGCCUAGAAGAACACCUGGGGGAUUAGCUGAGCGAUCACAUGGAAAAUCACCUGGGAGAACACUUAGGAGAUCACCUGUGACAACACCUGGGAGAUUACCUAGGAGAACACCUGGGAGAUCACCUGUGAUAACACCUGGGAGAUCACCAAGGAGAACACCUGAGAGAUCACCUGGGAGAACACCUGGGGGAUCAUGUGGGAGAACACUUGGGAGAUCACCUGGGAGAUCACCUGUGACAACAUCCGAGAGAUCACCUGGGAGACCACCUAGGAGAACACCUGAGAGAUCACCUGUGACAACAUCCAAGCGGUCACCUGAGAGAUCACCUGGGAGAUCACCCGUGACAAUACCUGGGAGAUCACCUAGGAGAACAUCUGAGAGAUCACCUGGAAGAACACCUGAGGGAUCACGUGGGAGAACACGGGAGAACACCUGUGACAACACCUGGGCAAUCACCUGGGAGAACACUUGGGAGAUCACCUGGGAGAACACUUGUGUGAAUACCUGGAGAAUGACUGGCAGUGGACACCAGGGCCAAGGGCCAUGCCCAAAGCCUGCCGUUUCCUCCUAUCCGGGUGUCACACACUUGUUUAUGUGUAUAUGUCUGUGUCUGUGUGUGUAUGUGUGUGUUUUGAUUUCUGCACUUUAACAGCUUUAUUGUGAUACCACGGAAUUCACCUGUUUAAAGUGUACAAUUCCAUGUUUUUUGUACACUCAUUGGGCUGUGCAACUAUCCCCACAGUCAAGUGAUGGAACGUUUUCAAGCCCUGAGAUAAAAGUGGACCUAUUUACUGGGACAUCCUUUCUGCUUCCCCCAGGCCCUGGCAACCACUAACCGACCUUCCAUCUCUAUUGCUCUGGCUCUCCUGGACAUUCAUACGAACAGAAUCACAUAACAUGUGAUCUUUUAAGUCUGACUUCUUUCACGUAGCGUAAUGUUCAAGGUUCGUCCACACUGCAGCCUGGGUCAGGGCCCGUUCCUUCUCAUGGUGAGUAAUAUUCCACGUGCAGACUUGCCAUGACCUGUGUGUCUGUUCUUCAAGCCGACAGACAUGUGUCUGGGCUGCUGUGGUGUCGGCGUAGCAGUUUCCGUGUGGACAUGAGCUUGCCCAGCAGUGGAGGUGCUGGGGAAUGUGGUCACCCUGGGCUGCAUUGCCUGAUGAGCUUCCAAACUGUUUCCCAUGGCGGCUGGGAUACUUCACAUUUCCACCAGCAGUGGAUGACAUUCUUUUCGGUUAAACAUUGCUUGGAAUCAGAGAAAUGCUUUCCUAUUUUUACGAUGACAAAAUGGGAGGGAGGACGGGUGAUGGUGUCAACAAGUUUCUUAAGACAGUAAAUACUUGGGGCCCAGUGGCAAGGCUGCCCCACAUUGGUCUCCAUGUCCCACAUCUGCCAGGACGGUUGACGCCCCAACCCUUCCCCUAGCAUGAGUGAUGCUGGGUUCACGCCGCCUGUGUCCAAGCACCGGCUCUGAAGACACAAAGAGAGUGGGGCCUGACGGGCAGGCAUGUGAUGGCAGGGGCACUUCUGUCCCCAGACAUGCACAAACCGGGUCCAUCUGCAUGCUUCCAGCCUGCAGAGCCAGCCCAAGAGAAAAACUAGGUCCUCUUCUGAAGAGAGCAGAGCUUCCAGAGGCUAGUCUACUCUGGCUCAGAGUCUCAGUGGCAGUGGACAGAGGUGGGAACAUUCUGUACGUACAGGUUUCUGUUAAAAUAUUUUGUUUACUUA